rnacentral:lncRNA from 1 species
GUAAAUUCACAAUCAUCAAUACAAAGGUUCAUUUCUCUUUCUAUUUUGGUUUCUCAAUAAUGUUUUGGGGUUACUCUAUGAUCGAAUUUGAGUUUGAGUGUACUAAGAUUGAUUGAUUCUCCUGUUGAGUAUGUUUUAAGAUUGAUUUAUUUUCCUUUUUGGUUGUUCAUAUGGUUAACCUUAUUGAUGAAUUGUAUUAAUUUGUUACUUUUCUUAUUUAAUGUUGAGAAGAAGGUAUCGAUGGCGGCUUCGGAAGAAGAGGAACAGAAUAUUUUAGGUCUAAAGACAAAUGACUCUGUUUCGGAUAUCCCUUGGACAAAGAUGAAGUCCUCUUCUUCAAAGUCACCACGUGGCUUAAUCCUAGCCUUUGAUCAAAAUUAUGAUGGAUUAAAUGAGGACCGUCGGAUGAAACAAUUUAACAGCUGCACAACUUUGGAUUCCACAUUCAAUUCUCACAUGUGCACCGUGUAAAUAGGAUAGAGAAGAAUAUUAUUCAGUUAUUUAGUUAUUACAUAGCAAAUAAGGAGGAGACACCUAUAUAGAUAAUUCUCUAUUUUUGUUUUCUUUCUUUACACAAAUACUUGUAUAAAUACAUCUCUUCUGCAGAUAAUAAAACACACAGACAAUUUCACAGAUCUAUUCUCAUAUUUACAUUCCUUCACGGUAACAUAGCACACAUAGCUCGUUUCUGGGAUUGAUCUUCAUUCUCCUUCAAUUUUCUGUUCAUCAGUCUCACUCACUAUGGAUGAUACAAUAGAUAUCACUCUCCCUCAAACUGCUUCCAGUAUUGGAGCUAACUUCGAUCCAAAUCACCCUUAUUUCUUGCAUUCAUUAGAUGCUCUAGGAAUGAGCUUGGUGAAUGCAGCCUUUGAUGGAAGGGGCUUUCAAGGUUGGAGAAGGUCAGUUCUGAUUGCACUCUCAACAAAGAAUAAAUUGGGAUUUAUUGAUGGAACCUGUGCUAAUCUUGCCAUCACAUCCAAGGACUAUCAGCCAUGGACUAGGUGCAGCGAUAUGGUGACUUCUUGGUUGUUGAAUUCACUCUCCAAGGACAAUAGAGAUAGUGUAAUCUACUCCAAAUCUACAAAGGAACUCCCGAUCAGUCUAGAACACAAAUUUGAAAAAUCAAAUGUAGCAAAACUGUAUCACUUGCGUAAGGAACUAUCUUCUUUAGUUCAAGGAACAAAUGAUAUAGCAAGCUACUUUACAAAACUCAAACGCUUAUGGGAUGAGCUGGAUUCUCUAAUGUGUGAUAUAAAAUGUGUUUGUGCUUGUGUAUGUUGUGGGAAACAAAAGCUGGAAAAAUCCUUGGAAGAUGAAAGACUUACACAAUUUCUCAUGGGAUUGAAUGAUGUUUCUGGUCAAGCUAGGGGAAACAUUUUAAUGUUGAAUCAUUUGCCUAGCAUAGAUUAUGCUUAUUCUCUAGAAUUACAGGAUGAGAGUCAGAGAGAAGUCUAUAUGAAUCCUCUCAUUUCUUCUGAUUCCUCAUCCUUCAUGGUGGGAAGUCAGGGAAGUUAUACACUAAGAAAUAACCAGCAAAUGCAAAUGAACACAUGACAGAAUCAGCAGUUUCAAAAGGGAGGAAACUCCAUGCAGUUCCAAAAAUCAGGAAAUAAUGUGCAGAGAUUUGCAAAUCAAUCACAAAGAAACAUAGUUUCAAAAUCAAAGAAACAAAGGUUCAAUCCUAAUGUAUCUCGCACUCAUUGCAAAAAGAUAGGACAUACAGUUGCAGAUUAAGAUAGGACAUACAGUUGCAGAUUGCUACAGUAUUAUUGGCUUUCCUGAGGAUUUUGAAUUCACAAAUGCCAAAGGACAUCAAAAUCAGAUUAGGAGCAAUGGAGUGCUUACAGGAGAUCAAGCAGAUGAUGCAGUCAGCAGUUACAAUGAAGUCCUAAAUCAACACCUCUCUAAGGAUCAAUUUUCACAAUUGGUUCAGAUGAUCAAACAAGUGAAAAUUUCAGAUGGAGGAAACAGUUCAAAAAUAAAUGCAAGUGCAGUAGCUGGUACUAUUAACAAAUAUACUGGCAAAUAUUUUUCUGUUUUCAAUACCCGUGUUUGGAUAAUUGAUUAAGGGGCUUCAAAACAUGUGUUUUGAUUCAAAUGUUUUUAUCUCUUUAGAUCUUCUUCCUACACCUUUACACAUAAAUUUUCCUAAUUCAUUUAGAGUAACAGUUACACAUACAGGGAAAGUCCCCAUCUCUCCUAAUUUCAUUCUAGAAAAGGUCUUUCAUGUGCUUAGUUUCAAAUAUAAUCUAUUAUCAGUUAAUAGAUUUUCAGUUCAGUUUCAAUGUAUAGUCUUAUUCAUUCCUACUCAAUGUCUAUUGCAUGCCCCUUUAAUAAAGAGGCCUCAAGUUUUCGGUGAUACAAGUGAGGUGAUACAAGUGAAGGACUCUACCUGUUGAAGCCUAGUCUUAAGGAGAAAACUGUUUCACCUUCAGUAAAUAAUGUUUUCAAUCAAAUUUCAGUUGUCUUUCCAUUUUCUGCUAAUGUGGAUAUAGAUGUAAAUCUUUGGCAUGUUAGGUUAGGGCAUAUGCCUUUUUCAUCAAUGAAGAAUCUUAGUUUUAUUUCAUUUCCUUCCAAUUUUGAUUACUUAUGUGAUAUUUGUCCUAAAGCUAGGCAAACUAGUAUUCCCUUUUCCUUGAGUUAAAUCAAAUUCAAAAGAGCAUUGGAAUUAAUUCACGUGGAUACAUGGGGCCCUUAUAAGGAACCUACUUAUAAUGGUUUUAAGUACUUUUUAACUAUUGUGGAUGAUUUUAGGAGGAGGACUUGGACAUUCUUAUUAAGCACCAAGAGUAAUGCCUUCACAGUCCUAAAGAAUCUUUUAACAAUGGUUGAAAGACAAUUUGCAGUCAAGGUACAUAAAUUGAGAACAGAUAAUGUAUUUGAAUUAGGCAAGGGAUCACAACAAGCAGCCUUUCUCAGCUCUCAAAGAAUAAUACAUCAGACUUCUUGUGUAUCAACAACUCAGUAGAAUGGCAUAGUUGAAAGAAAAUAUAGACACUUAUUGGAAAUAGCAAGGGCUUUACUUUUCCAAUUUAAGGUGCCUAUCAGGUAUUGAGGAGAGUGUAUACUAACUACAACAUACCUAAUAAACAGGAUACCUUCCAAGGUUCUUCAAGGAAAAACACCCUAAUCCUUUCUGUUCAAUCAAUACCCUACUUAUGAUUCAUUAAGGUCAUUUGGAUGUCUUUGUUGCGUUUCUACCUUGUCUAAUAGUAGAAACAAAUUUGAGCAAAGAGCAAAUAGUUGUGGCUUUCUAGGAUAUCUUUUAGGUCAAAAAGGGUACAAAGUGUUGGACUUAGAUACUAAAAACAUUUUUGUGUCUGGAGAUGUACAUUUUUAUGAAAACAUAUAUCCCUCUACUUUAAAUUCCAUACCUCAUUCAGAUAUUUCCAAUCCAGCUCUUAUAUUUCCUACCCCUUCUCCUAUGGACACAGCCACCAGUGACCUUCCACCAAACACAUCGUUGAUUGAUCCUACGCUACCUUCAUCACCUAGUACCACCAGAAUUCACUCACCUCCAUCUUCUCCCUCACCAUCACCUCACUCUUCUCAUUCUUCUUCCCCCAUCACUGCUGGUUUGCCCGCUGCAUCCACUCAUACACCAGGUAUCAGGAAGUCUACUAGAGUUUCAAAAUGGCCUUCUCACCUCAAAGAUUUUGUUUUCUCUAAUGUCUAUUUGACUGACCUAACCUCUUCCUGUUUCAUCCAGCCCUGCAAAUCCAAUAUUUUUAGCUUUGUUGCACUUUAUUCCCAUAACAAACAGAUAAUCCAAUCUCUUUCAGAGAUUUCAGAACCUACCAGCUUCUCUCAAGCUUCUGCCCAUCCAGGAUGGAUGCAAGCAAUGCAUUCAGAAAUUGAAGCCUUAGAAGCUAAUCACACAUGGGAUGUGGUUCUUUUACCACAAGGGAAGAAGUCCCUACCAUGUAAAUGGGCCUACAAGGUCAAGCAUAAUUCAGAUGGAAUUGUGGAAAGACUCAAAGCACUAUUGGUGGUAAGGGGGUGCAUUCAAAGGGAAGGCAUUGACUGCACGGAGACAUUUUCUCCUGUAGCCAAAAUGACUACCAUUCACUGCUUAAUGGCUGUUGUAGUAAAGAAUAAUUGGCAUAUCUCUCAAAUGGAUGUUAGUAAUGCAUUUUUACAUGGUGACUUACAAGAGGAGGUGUUUAUGAAGUUUCCAGCAGGUAUACUGUCACUUAGUCCCAAUCAUGUCUGUUUACUUGGGAAGUCACUUUAUGGUUUAAAGCAAGCUUCACGAUAGUGGUAUGCUCGACUUGCUGGUGAAUUAUGUUUUAAGGGCUAUUCUUCAUCCUUAAAUGAUUAUUCUUUAUUCUUCAAAAGGACAAACAAUCUAAUUUCUAUAGUAGCUGUUUAUGUUGACUGACAUUCUCAUCAGUGGAGAUGAUAUAGAAGAAAUAACCUCACUCGAGUCUUUUCUUCACAGUGAAUUCAAAGUCAAAGAUUUGGAUGAUCUUUAUUAUAUCUUAGGUAUGGAAAUACUUCGAGAAAAAUAGGGGAUUAUAGUAUGUCAGAGGAAAUAUACCUUAGAUUUGUUGAAGGAGUUUGAUGUUUCAGCUUUUUCCUCUGUAUCUUCUCCACUCGAACCUUCAUCUAAGCUCCACGCUGAUGGAGGUCCUUUGCUUCUCGAUCCAACCAUCUAUGGUAAUUUUGUAGGGAAAUUGAACUACUUAACCCAUACACGACCCGAUUUAUCAUUUGUUGUGCUGAAAUUGAGUCAAUACAUGUAACAAUCCAGAUACUCACAUUUCUCUGCAGCUCUUCAUGUUCUACGCUAUUUGAGUUUGGAUCCAGGACAAGGCAUUCUCUUAAAUUAAGAUCCCUCUCUAUCUCUUCUAGCUUUUAGUGAUGCCGACUGGGCUUCGUGUCUUGACAGUCACCGGUCAGUGAGUGGCUUUUACAUCAGUCCUGGUGGAUCCCCUAUCUCUUAGAAAUCAAAGAAACAAAUCUUCGUUUCGUUAUCAUCUGCUGAAGCGGAAUAUCGAUCCAUGCACCGAGUAGUAGCAGAAUUCACUUGGCUCACUCACCUUCUCUCCGGCAUCUCUGCUACUCCAUCUUUGCCGGUGCCAAUUUUCUCCAAUAGUAAGGCGGUGAUUUACAUAGCCUGAAACCCUGUGUUCCAUGAGAGGACAAAAUAUGUAGAACUGGACUGCCACUUUGUCCGGCAACAAUUUCUCUCAAGCUUAAUCUCUCUUUCUUAUGUUCCCUCAUCUUCUCAGCUAGAAGAUUUAUUCACAAAAACCCUUUUAGGGCCCUUGCACACAGCUGUUCUUGCCAAGUUGGAGUCAUUUCAGUACCCUCCAACUUGAGGGGGAUGUUGAGAAGAAGAUAUCAAUGGCGGCUUCUCACAAGGAAGAAGAGAGAUAAUAUUUUAGGUCUAAAGAUAAAUGAUUGU